UAAUUAACAAAAUUAUUGUAAUUGGAACUUUUUACGAGACGUGAUAAUAUUUCCAGCAAAGUGAUUAUCAUUCCCGAAAACGGCCUUACUCCUUCUGAUAAAUGUGUAUCGGAUUGUGUUAGACUAAUAGAAAAGUCUUAUCUUUAAGGCGAUAAUUGAGAUGUAAAAAAAAAAUGUAUAAAUUUUAGAAAAUUAAAGAAAAUGUAUAAAACAGGCUUCGACAGCCUUAAUAUAGUGUUCUUCGUUGCAGUAUUGUAUUUAACUCGUUUAUAUGAAUACAAAUAUAGCAUAAUUAAUACUAUAAUUACUUGCGUGAUUUCUAUCAAGUACAAAAUAUGCAAUAAUCACUAGGGCAGAAGACAGAGUAGCUCUA